rnacentral:rRNA from 1 species
CAAUAGCGUAUAUUUAAGUUGUUGCAGUUAAAAAGCUCGUAGUCGGAUUUUGGCUGAGAACGAUCGGUCCGCCGUUAGGUGUGCACUGAUUGGUCUCAGCUUCCUGGUGAGGAGGUGUGCCUCACGGCCACUUAGUCACCGUGGUUACUUUGAAAAAAUUAGAGUGUUCAAAGCGGGCUUACGCUCGAAUAUAUUAGCAUGGAAUAACACCAUAGGACUCCUGUCCUAUUUCGUUGGUCUCGGGACGGGAGUAAUGAUUAAGAGGAACAGUUGGGGGCAUUCGUAUUUCAUUGUCAGAGGUGAAAUUCUUGGAUUUAUGAAAGACGAACUUCUGCGAAAGCAUUUGCCAAGGAUGUUUUCAUUGA